rnacentral:lncRNA from 1 species
UUUUUUUUUUUUCUUUCUUUUUUUGGGGGUCACCCCAAGGCCCUAAGGAGUUCCAGAGCCAGGGAUCUGAUCCGAGCUGCAGCAGCAACCUAUACCACAGCUACAGCAAUGCCAUAUCCUUAAUCCACUAUGCCAGGCCAGUAAUCGAGCCUAAGUCUCAGUGCUUCAGAGACACCACUGAUGCCACUGUGCCACAGUGGGAACUCCUCUCUUUUCAUUUAAGGACUCAAAUUUUCCAAAUACCUUAGCCAAAUAUUGACAAAAUUUCUCUGUGUUAUCAGGAACAACUUUCUAUAUCUUUUUCUACUCAAUUCAGAAUCAUUUCUGGCCAAAAAAUAAAAGAGUAUUAGAUAUCAUCUCUUUUAGAAGUAUGUUUUGUAGUUUCCAUUUCACAAUAAAAGUCUUACACAAAUUACCUUCCUUUGCAGUGCCAAGAACGACACAAUGCAAAAAAAAGGUCUAUUACAUGUAUGUCCUGACCUAUCACAUAUUAACUUGUAGAAAGGGUAAAGGCUCAAAGCUGCAUCAUAUUCUGGUGUGCACUGGCUUGAGUGUGCUGAACCAUGGUGCUUAGGAGUGGACCCAUUAGACUGAGAGCACAUCAGAUGCCAUACAGUACCCAGCUGGUACUUUAAAACUGAUUAUUAUUAGGCUUGAUAAUAAUAAAUAUGAAUAGCCAUUCAUUGAAAGAGAGGUCACUAAAUUUCUAGGUGGCUUCAUUCAUUGCUUUCAAAUAAGAAUCUGUCAACAUUUCCAUCGAACACAUCUAUUUCUAGAAUGUUACAGCCACAAAACUUAUUUUGGAAUAGAAGCAGCAUUAAAAAUGUCUAUCAAAGACUAUUUCUUCAUAAAGUUAAAAAUAAGUUCCAUUCAGCUCUAUGAAUCUGAAAUACUUAGAAUACCAUAUGUAUUUCAAUAACAUAUCUGUUUACUUCUGAAAUGGCUAUUCAUGUACCAUCUCAGGGCACAACUAAAUAUGACUCAAUGACAUAAAACUAAGGUACAAUACUGAGAUAAAUAGAUUUUUAUUUUCUUGUAGAAAAUAAGUAAAGUUUCCUAAUGACAAAAAUAUAAAAGGUCAGAUUUUAAAAUACUUAAGGCAGGAGUUCCCAUCAAGGCUUAGAGGUAGCUAACCCAACUAGUAUCCAGGAGGAUGCAGGUUUGAUCCUUGGCCUUGCUCAGUGGGUUAAGGAUCCGGCAUUGCCAUGAGCUGUGGUGGGGUGGUAGAUGCAGCUCGGAUCCCAUGUUACUGUGAUCUGGCAUUACUGUGGCUGUGGCAUGGGCAGCAGCUAUAGCUCCGAUUCAACCCUUAGCCUGAGAAUUUCCAUGCGCCACAGGUGUGACCCUAAAAAGACCAAAAAAAAAGAAAAAUGAAUGCAUAUAACAGAGUAGUUCACUACUGGCAAAACCAAAUUGUCUUGUUUAAAGGUCAGGUUUCACUGAGAGGGUUAACAACCAAAGUUAAUCUUUUAAAAAAUAAUUGGAAUUUUUAAUAGCAAGAAUCAUUUAUAAUACAGCUUUAUAGAUUGUUUUUCAAAUAUUUUCAAAGUCAUUCUUUUUGUCUUCAUCCACAUGUAUGGUAUCAAACUUUCCCUCCCUCAUUUCCAUUUGUUAAAUAAAACUGCUCUUAAUUAAAGUCAAGAAAAAGACGUCAGUAAUUCCAGUCACUUAUAAUAAGGAUACGCAACAAAAAAAAUUACAUAUUCUUUCAAUUUAAAACUGAAAAAAAAAAAAUGCCUACUGACAUUAUUUUCUUUAGCAUGUGGUUCUCAGUGUCUAAUGUAACACCACCAGGUUCAUGGGCAUCAAUUUUAGCACAGGAAAUAAUGUACACACCCAGGCUCUAGUUCAAGUUCUUCUUCUAAUACUGCAUUCUAUUUCUGCUCCUGGGUCUCACCCAACAUUAACACCUUAAAAUUUCCUUGGUAAUUAUUGAAAACUACCUGUGAAGCCCCCUUCACUUUCGGAAUGCAUUUACCAGGCAGUUAGUAAGUGCUCUGUAUUUACCAAAUACUGCAUCUAAGGUCAAGAUUUAAAAGACAAACAAAAAUUUUCCUAUCUUUGACCUCAUGAAGCCUGGAAUCUAGCAGAGAAAAGAAACAUCAUGCAAAUAAUGACAUGAAUAUUUAUAUACAGUCAUGCUGCCUGUUUCCAAAAAAAAAAAAAAUUAAUGAGAAAUGGAAAUGUAUAACCAGGAAAGCUUUCUCUGAGUAAGAGACAUUAAAACUGAGGGAUUCCUGAUAACCAAGGGCAAGACAAGUGAAGGGGAAGGGAAAUAGAGGAGAAGUGGUUCAGUCAUAAGGAAUGAGAUGUAUGAACCCAAGGAGAGAGGAGGGGCCUGGGGUCUUUAAGGAACUGAAGGGCAACUAUCAGAGCCAGAGUAAGGAAAAGAGCCAAGUUGUUCUGAGGAGAUUAGUUAGAUUGUGGAGGGCCUUCCUUGCAGAUUAUCAUCAGUGUCACGGAUUGCAUACUUCAUCCUAGGUGCAAAGAGAAGUAUAACAUCUUCAAUGGAAAGUUAGAAGUCAAAGGAGUGCCAGUGAUGCAGUCUGUACCUUCUGAGAUACAGAGCAGUGCAGAGAAUGGACAGGGGCCUGAGGAGAAUAAACGACAGAAGACAUCACUGAAGGGUUUUACACAUGGGUGUGAUUUGAUGAGACCUGCGUCGGCACAAAAUUCUCUGAUGGCUAAGUAGAGAAUGGAUGAGGAUAUGUGCAGUACAAGAAAAACUGAUGAUAUCUAGGACUGUGAGGCUAACAGUGGAGAAGUAAACAGAUGAGAGAUACCAUUCGAAAACACAAUGGACAAGACAUGGUGGUUUAUAAAGCACAGAGAGGACAGAAAGAGGGCGGAGUUGAAAAUGACUUCUCAAUCUCUGAAAUAAGCAAGGGCAACACUGAAUCACCCAGAUCAUGUGCUAGCUGCGUUGUCAAAGGAGAAACAAAGGCAGUCUUUACUGACCUUGAAACUUGAUUUUUUUCCAAGGGCUUUAAUGAAAUCAAACUAAAAACUAAGACACCUCAUUUAAUUUCUAGACAAAUGAUGUUAAAAUGUAUACAUUCUUGCUCACUUCACAUCUCUGCAUCACAUUUUGUAAUCUUUAUAACUCUUCAAACUUUCUCAUUAUUAUAUUUAUCAUAGUGAUCUGUGGUCAGUGAUCUUUGAUUUUACCAUUGCGAAAAAGAUUACAACUUGCUGAAGGCCCAGAUGAGGGUUAGCAUUUUUUAACAAUAAAGUAUUUUUAAUUAAAAAAUAUAUAUAAUAAAAUGUAUACAUUCAAAUAGCAGUAUAAAUUUAAAUUCAAACCCUAAAGGAAAACUUUGAGAAGUGGAUACCUUUUGGCUCAAUACCGUGUUUAUAACAAUAAAUACACCUUCAUUAUAGUGUGCUUUAUAGAUUACUCUCAUCACCUGGACUGCUUGCUCUCAUCCAAGCCACUGUCAUCUCACCCCUGAAAUCAUAUAAUUUACUAUUUAUUAGGCUUAUUUUUCAUCCUUCAUCUCUACGCACUGGAAUGUGAGCUCCAAGGGAUCAGGAACUUUGUCCACUUGUGCUAGAUUAGUGCCCCAUCUAAAGUAGGUGCUCAAUACAUUUGUAGAACAAACGAAUGGAGGAAGGACAGGGUAGUAUUUGAUUGAAUCAUGUCCCAAGCCUUGUAGCUAAUAUGGGAAUAAUCACCUCCAUUUUGUCAAUAAGGAAACAGAACUUUUGAGACUGCAAACAAUUUUCCUAUGUAGCAAAUAUACUAAGCCAGAACUUAAAUCCAGACUUCCUGAGAAUAAGUUUAGUAAAUCAAUUUUUCAUUAAUGCUUCCUAGUAGUCAUCACCCUUUUAAUGCUUCUACACAUGCACCCACACGCACACUCACAAACAUUCCCCAUAAAAAUUGUUAGCUUAAACAGAGGCUGGUUUUUCCCUUCUAAAAGUAAUAUUUGCUUAGGUGACAGGCGUAGAAGUAUACCCAAUGAUUUUCCUCUCCCUGAUAAUAGCUAAGACAUCAGAAAAAUAAAAAUAAUUUAUUUCUCCCUUCAUUAGCCAAAUUUUUAUAUAUGGUUAUAAAGUUAGGCAAGUACAAUACAAAACAAACAAGACACGUAGCAAUAAGUAAAAGUACACUAUAUCAUGGUGACUAUGCCUUAGUUAUAGAAAAUGGUCUGAAACUGCUGAUGUUGCAAUUCAUCAUAAGAAUUCAAUUAAAAAAUUGAGGAGGGUGCAGGAACCUUCUUGGCAUCUGUAGCCACAACAUGCAAAUUAGUCUUGUAAGAGCCUAAGAAGAAAACAAAUCUAAUAACUAUUAUGCUUAGCAGAAUGGGGGCAAAAGGAGCUACAGAUACCAAGUAUGAGAGAAAAUAAUUAUAUUAAUCAAUAAUAUAAGUCCCGUAAAUAUUUUUUUCCUUUUAAAGGCAGAAAGUUGCUUUCUUUCAUUUCUCUGUUCAUAAAAAUUUGUAAAUUUUUCUUAUUAAUAAGAAAACUCAAUUCCAUCAUCCAGAGGAAACCAUUUACCAUCUUAGAUGAUCAGAUUAUUUUUCUAGACAUAUAUACCUUUUAAUUAGUUCAUUUUAUACAUGUUUUAUAUACCUUUUUCAAUUAGCCACAUAUCAUAGACACCUUUAGGUAAAUAAAAACAUAGUUCUAUAUCCACAUUUUAAUGUCUGAAUAAUUCUUCAUAAUGUAGAUAUAACAUAAUUCAUUUAUAUAAUUCCUUAGAGUUGUAUAUUUAAGUUGCCUAGUAUAUGCUUCCUUUCAUAAGAACUAUGCAAUGGAUAUUUCUGCACAUGUGAUUGAGUACAUGUGGCAUUUUCAUCUCAAAAAAAUCUAAGAAGUGGAACUGCUAGAUUAAAGGGGAAGGGUAUUUCUAUACCUUUUAAUAGACAUUUCCCAACUAUCCUCUAGAAAGGUGGUUCCAAGUUUAUACUCAUAUCAAUGAUAUAUAAGAAGAGUCAUUUCCUGACACCAAGUGUUACUGUUUUCAUCUUCACUUAUUUAAAAGGUUAAAACCAGUCUCUGAAAGACAUCUUAUGGGCAUUUUUAUGACAAAAUUUCACAAGCUAUUGUAAUGAUCAUAUUUUUUUAUAUAACAUCCUAUUUCUAUGUUCCAAAUCCACAGAAGCAUAAUCACUGGCAGCAGGUCCCAGGACUUUGCAUUUUUAAUAUACUCCAAGAGAUGGUUUUCAUGAACACUCACAUCUAAGAAUCACUAGCCCAUAUGUUAACUGUUUAUAGCGCUGAAUAGCUUACAAAAAGUUUGGCUUACUUUGUUUCACUAGAUCUACCCAGUAAGCAAGUGGCAAAGGAAGAUCAGAGAUACUUCCAGAAUUUUUAAAAUAAAAAGAUUCAUGGAGUUCCCAUCGCAGUGCAGCAGAAACAAAUCUGACUAAGAACCAUGAGGUUGUGGGUUUGAUCCCUGGCCUCACUCAGUGGUUAAGGAUCUGGCAUUGUCAUGAGCUGCGAUGUAGGUCACAGAUGUGACUCAGAUCUGGCAUUGCUGUGGCUGUGCCACAGGCCAGAAGCUGUAGCUCCAAUUUGACCUCUGGUAACCUCCAUAUGCUGCGGGUGCAGUCCUAAAAAGCAAAAAAAAAAAAAAAAAAA